AGUGGCGGACGGGUGAGUAACGCGUGGGUAACCUGCCCCAUACAGGGGGAUAACAGCCGGAAACGGCUGCUAAUACCGCAUGCACAUGCGGGGCGCAUGCCCCUGGAUGGAAAGCUUUCGCGGUAUGGGAUGGGCCCGCGUCUGAUUAGGCAGUUGGCGGGGUAACGGCCCACCAAACCGACGAUCAGUAGCCGGCCUGAGAGGGCAACCGGCCACAUUGGGACUGAGACACGGCCCAAACUCCUACGGGAGGCAGCAG
rnacentral:rRNA from 1 species